GGUUUCCAUACAAGCCCUUUUUGAGUCAGCACUAACUGAAUAGGGUGAGGUUUCCAUACAAGCCCUUUUUGAGUCAGCACUAACUGAAUAGGGUGAGGUUUCCAUACAAGCCCUUUUUGAGUCAGCACUAACUGAAUAGGGUGAGGUUUCCAUACAAGCCCUUUUUGAGUCAGUACUACCUGAAUAGGGUGAGGUUUCCAUACAAGCCCUUUUUGAGUCAGCGCUAACUAAAUAGGGUGAGGUUUCCAUACAAGCCCUU